rnacentral:rRNA from 1 species
GGCGAUCAGAUACCGCCCUAGUUCUAACCGUAAACGAUGCCAACCAGCGAUUAAUCGGAGUUAAUUAACGACCCGAUUAGCAGCUUCCGGGAAACCAAAGUUUUUCGGUUCCGGGGGAAGUAUGGUUGCAAAGCUGAAACUUAAAGGAAUUGACGGAAGGGCACCACCAGGAGUGGAGCCUGCGGCUUAAUUUGACUCAACACGGGAAAUCUCACCCGGCCCGGACACCGCGAGGAUUGACAGACUGAGAGCUCUUUCUUAAUUCGGUGGGUGGUGGUGCAUGGCCGUUCUUAGUUGGUGGAGCGAUUUGUCUGGUUAAUUCCGAUAACGAACGAGACUCUGGCCUAUUAAAUAGUCGGAAUAUUUUUCUUCGGAGUAUUUCGCACUUCUUAGAGGGACAAGCGGCGUCCAGCCGCAUGAAAUAGAGCAAUAACAGGUCUGUGAUGCCCUUAGAUGUCCGGGGCUGCACGCGCGCUACACUGAAAGAGUCAGUAUGCGUUUUUUAUACCCGGUCCGUAAGGACUAGGUAACCCUGCGAAAUUCUUUCGUGCUUGGGAUAGGGAAUUGAAAUUAUUUCCCUUAAACGAGGAAUUCCCAGUAAAUGCGGGUCAUAAGCUCGCGUUGAUUACGUCCCUGCCCUUUGUA